GUAUAGCUAGUUUCCGCAUACGAAACCAACUUAUUAAAAAGUCAACAACGGUAGAAAGAUGAGCAUGCGUCCCAUUAGCUAGAUGGUAAGGUAACGGCUUACCAUGGCUACGAUGGGUAGGGGUCCUGAGAGGGAGAUCCCCCACACUGGUACUGAGACACGGACCAGACUCCUACGGGAGGCAGCAGUGAGGAAUAUUGGUCAAUGGACGCAAGUCUGAACCAGCCAUGCCGCGUGCAGGAUGACGGUCCUAUGGAUUGUAAACUGCUUUUAUACAGGAAGAAACCCUCCCACGUGUGGGAGCUUGACGGUACUGUAGGAAUAAGGAUCGGCUAACUCCGUG
rnacentral:rRNA from 1 species